ACUAGGUUCAACAAAUACCAUCAAAAGAAGAUGCCGAUAGAACACAUGUCUUCACAAAUCUCUGUCCAGGGAGCUGUAGAUAUACCUCAUGUUUUUAGGAUCCUUCAUUUUAUUGAUACCCAGCCCCCUGGGAUUGCCUCUCAAUUACACUGUACGUAUCUUGUGUAUACAUAUGGAACACCGUCCUGGCCAAUGAGGACUCAGUCCUGGAAGCAUGAGCUCUCAAGUGAACCUGCUUUGGAAAAUGCCUGAUGAUAUGGCAUGGAGAGGCCCUGAUCUCCAUUUCAGAUGUCCUUUGGGUGACCCCAGGAUCUCUUUGGAGAUUAGGCCUGGCUAUGUUAAAAGGAAGAAAAUACAAAUGCCACCAAGAAAGGUACAGUAAAUAUAAAAGAAUAAACCAUCAGCCUAUACACAGAUUCUGCUCUGAUGGAUAUGCCAGAUAAACCAGAAACUGAAUCAAACGGCCAAGUUAAUGAUGAUUGUCCUACUAUUCCUUGUGUUUAGGUAAUCACAACCUUUAUUUAAAACAUGAAAACGAACCAAAGAUGAGAAGAUGACUGUGAUUAGGAGCGGCCCUGAUGAAUUCCCUGAUGCAUCGUCUUUCUUCCCACCCACAAUUUGAAGAGGCUCUACCAAAAAGAAGACAAAGCUGUUAGACAAAUCCCUGGAGGCAUUCCCUUUUUAAAAAUGUUUUUUAAAUUUUUUCCAAUUACAUAUAAAAAAACAAUUUUUAUCAUUCAUUUUUUCAAGUUUUGAGUUCCAAAUUUUCUCCCUCCUUCUUUCCCUUUCAAAAGGCAAGCAAUUUGAUAUAGGUUAUACAUAUAUAGUCAUGUAAAACAUAUUUCCACAUUAGUCCUGUUGUGAAAAAAAAUCACAGACAAAAAAAAAAAGAGAAAUAAAGGAAGUAAAAAAGAGUAUGCUUCA
rnacentral:lncRNA from 1 species